rnacentral:lncRNA from 1 species
GUUUUACCAAAACACAUGAUCUCGGUAAAUAAUCCGAUCCAGUAGUUGAUCCAAUCGACUACGACGCAUCAUAUGCGUCUGGCGUAUGAACCUGGGUUACGAGAUAGACUAAGCUAGCGCAAAACAAAAUUUUCUACCGCGUAAAUCAGGAAAACUGUCGUAUAUGGAUCACAGGAUUACCACUAGACGUGUAGAUGCGCAAGUUGAUCAAGCGCGUCGGGGUAGUGUAGUCG